rnacentral:rRNA from 1 species
AACGAACGCUGGCGGCGUGGAUAAGACAUGCAAGUCGGACGGGAUUUUUCCUGGUAGCAAUACCGGGAAAAGUCUAGUGGCGAACGGGUGCGUAACACGUGGGCAAUCUGCCGAGAAGUGGGGGAUAGCUCGCCGAAAGGCGAAUUAAUACCGCAUGUGAUGAGAGGCGACAUCGUCUUGAAAUCAAAGCCGGGGUCAAACCUGGCGCUUUUUGAGGAGCCCGCGGCCUAUCAGCUUGUUGGUGAGGUAACGGCUCACCAAGGCUUUGACGGGUAGCUGGUCUGAGAGGACGACCAGUCACACUGGAACUGAGACACGGUCCAGACACCUACGGGUGGCAGCAGUCGAGAAUUUUUCUCAAUGGGGGAAACCCUGAAGGAGCGACGCCGCGUGGAGGAUGAAGGUCUUCGGGUUGUAAACUCCUGUCAUUUGGGAACAAGGCGGAUGUAUUUACUGUACGUUCGUUGAUAGUACCAGAAGAGGAAGAGAC